UACGUAGGGUGCAAGCGUUGUCCGGAAUUAUUGGGCGUAAAGAGCUCGUAGGCGGUUUGUUGCGUCGGCUGUGAAAUCCCGAGGCUCAACCUCGGGUCUGCAGUCGAUACGAGCAAACUAGAGUGUUGCAGGGGAGACUGGAAUUCCUGGUGUAGCGGUGAAAUGCGUAGAGAUCGGGAGGAACAUCAGUGGCGAAGGCGGCCCUCUGGACCAGCACUGACGCUGAGGCACGAAAGCGUGGGGAGCAAACAGG
rnacentral:rRNA from 1 species